GCGGACUGCAACUUGGGACAUUUUCCUUUCGUCCUUCGUGGUUGGAACAGCCAUACUUUCUCGCCUGUAGCAAACCCAGUCUGAUACGCGUUUGCUGAACAAACUCGUCCUCCUCAUAUCUUGAUUCAGGCGGGAGUCCUCUCUGAAGAUCCAUUGGAAGUCGAAGCUCUCUACCAGUGAGAAUCAUCGAUGGAGUGUUCUUCAUUGUCUCGUGUCUGCUUGAGCGAUAGGAUAGUAAAAAUAACGGUAUCCAAUCGUCCCAAUCCCGUUGAUGA